GUUCUCAGGCACAGGUACCUGCAGCUGCUGCCGCGCACCAGGAGUUCCAUGUCAGCUAGCUCCGGCUGCUCCGCCGUGUUCCAGGCCAGAGACCCUUCGAGAUUUUGAAUAUUAGAGAAAACAAAACGCAGCGGACUCCGAGCCAUCUCAGGCCGUUUGCCACGUCAGCCGUUCGAUCUGAAACCACUGAUGUAUCUGGCCGUCGGAUCCGUGGUGGAGGGACGCUGCUCCGCCAGGAAAUUUGGAAAACGCUGGUUAAGUGGGCCGCAGACCAUUAACGCAGCCAUUGUCCAGUUAGCCCACUAGGAAAAAAAAAGCUGAGCCUUUCGCAGCGCUGCCGAGAACUCUUCCGCUGCCUGCCUUCCCUUCCCUCCUCUGCUCCCGUGCGUGAGGCGGCUCGUCCUCCCGGCCUGCCGCUCGCUGGCCCGUUGGGCGUCCGGCCUUCCAGAAAUCGCCUCCUCUCCGUGACGUUCUCCUGCCCAUCCAUCGGCGCGCGCCGCCUGCCCUCCCGCAUUCACUUCUGGCCGUUUGGUGUGCGGCUUCAGUUUCUUCUGCCAUGAUUCCCAGCACCGGCAGUUGCUGCUCCUUGGCAUUCUUCUCCUCCAUUGCUCCUCUAUCACUAAUCUGCGCCAUAUCAUGGAUUCUGUACUGUUCUUGCGGGAGGGGGUUCCUAAUCUGCUUCCGGUUACAUCCAGGCUCAUAACAAAUUCGAGGGUUCAUGACAUCCAAGCAAUGGCUCCUGGCCAGGAAUCUAUGGCUGUUGAUCGCUGGAGCUGGGUAAUUAGCUGCUAUGGCUAAUCAACAAUGGAGCUUUAUUUCUGAGAAAGGGAAUGGAGCUCUAAUCAUUUCACUGUGUUCUCUUUUCUGAUCGGUAAUGUACUUUCUACAUCUUUUACGUGGCAUAUAAUUGGCUAUUGAUACUAGAUCAGAAACUAUAUAUAGUAGGAACAUCUCUUUUUGAUGAAGCAACUACAAGAAUAUUGGCUUGUAAAUCUAUGAAACUUUUGUCUGGUGAUUACCAUUAGUAGUUCAGUUUUGCCAAGUAAAAGGCCCGUAAGCCUGUUUAAUGAGUGAUUUUCUUGCAUCAUUGGCCCAUAAGCCUGUUUAAUGAGUGAUUUUUCAUUGCAUCAUUUUGGUAGGUGAAGUAUAAUAUUAUCUAAUAUCAUUUGAGUCGAUCAUUGAGCAUGCCGCAGGAAAAGUAUUUGCAUUGCUCUUUGGACUAUUAUGGAACUCUUUCACCAACCAUAGGAAAUUUUGAAAACGUAGUGAUGUUUCAUGAGGCGCCGUCAAACCAAGCAAGAAGUAAGAAAGAGCUUGCAACAAUUAAUUGUUAUGUUCACAUCAGCUCGGUACUGAUGUAGGGUCUUUAAUCUGGUACUGAGGGUCCAGUUUCGUAGCCACGCCGGUCACCUAAUUUUUUUUCCUGAAUUUUCUUAUAUUGGUACAACAUAAGGUUUGGUUUUGGGCUGGCAUUUCCAGUUCAGUGUUAUGUUCACCUUGAUUGUAAACUAAUAUGAUAUAAUGAGCGUAAAGUUAUUCUAUCAUACUCCCUCCGUCUCAUAUUAAGUGAAUCAAAUUUGUCCAAAUAUGAAUGUAUUCAUGCAUAAAAAGCGUCUUAGAUACAUGUAAUAGAAAGUGACAUAAUAUGAGACGGAGAGAGUAUUAAUUACACCAAACCUGCCCUUCUCAACUAUACAGUCGGGCGCGGCAACGCGCGCUAUUACGGUCUAGUUUCAUCGUCAACAUUACAAGCGCUUGGUGUCCAUAAAGCUCAUUUUUAUCGAAAAAGGAGUAAAUUUAAAAAACCCACAGUUUUAGGACAGUUGUAUGGCCAAAGCACACUUAUCGCAUAACCGUCCGCAGAACCACAUAUUUUGAGACAGUUUGUCUCAAGUAACCAGAAACCGGUUGGUUGGCGGUUUCACAUGCUUCCUUACAGGUGGGUCUCACAUGUCAGAUGCCACGUCGGCAUCAACCUGACCGGACAAGUUAACCCACGAUUAAACACAUCGACCCCCUUCUCCUUCCCGCAGUGGCCGUUUUUCACACUUCUACGGAAUUACGUGGCAUCUAACAGGUGGGCCCCACCUGUAAGGAAUCACGUGAAACCGCCAAAACACCUGGUUUUCGGGCUACAUGAAACAAAUUGUCUCAAAAUGUGUGGUUCUGCGGAUGACUUUGUGAUAAGCGUGGUUUGGCGAAAUGACUACUCAAAAAGCUGCGAUUUUCUCAAAUUUACUCUGAAAAAAGAAACAAUGGUUUGGUCGAAAUCGACAACGGCUACGAAAAAGCAACAAGGAAGAUUCUCUUCUCUAAAUAAGAGCUCCCUUCUCAGAUCUAAGCCAUUUUCAACUCUCUUGGACUGAUUUGUUUAGAUCAGUCCGAGUUUGCUUCGGAUCUGAGCCCCCCUCCCUUCUUUUCCUCUUUGUGCUGGUACCCUGUUCGUCUAGAGCGCCAAUGUUUUUCUACAGAUCUUCUCACCGGUGCUCUCUUUUGGAAGCUUUACUUCGGCCUUCCUCUUGGACUGGGCAAGUGGGGAUUUUCUCUGGUGAUGGUUUCUCUCUGUUCCUUAUGCAUCGAAGAUGUCCUGACUUCGGUUGCGGUGGCCUCAUCCAAGUUGCUGGCUCCCCCUCAACCUCCACAUCGGAGGCCCGCCUUGCGGUUAUGGGAAGCAGCAGCUUUGUGGUGCUUGCUGGAACUUCACCUGGGACUGGAGUUGUGGUCAUCUGCUCAUUGCUGGAGCUUUUGAAUCGGUUAGGCGUCGGCAGGAUCUUCUUCAUCUCAUGCGACGUCGACUUCGUCUUCUUCCUCCGUGCUCGGAGGCAGCUAGUCCAGAGGCUCCUUUGUUUUGCUGGUGGCGGCCUGCGCUGCUCACCGACGGCGAGCACCGCAAAGGUCGGCGGCAAGGUCUCCUGCUGGACACGUGGGCGGUUUCUACAACCGUAGUGGCGACUCGAGAGAAGACUAGAGACGCGUGGUGUGCUGCAUUGUUUGUAACCCACCACGUGUACCUUAGAGGCCUAGUUGUAAUUUCCAAUUUCUUUGAGUCCUUGGAUGUAUCUCGAGUUGUAAUAGUCUGUGGGGCUUUGUCCCCACUGU